GGGUUGAAAGAAUCUUUUGCCUUAAAAUUAGAUAUGAGUAAGGCAUACGAUUGGGCGAAGUGAAACUUAAUACAAGCUAUUAUGGUUCACAUAGGUCUCAACGCGAAGUGGGUCGAUUUAGUAAUGCAUUGUGUUAAAUCGGUUUAGUACUCGUUUUGCAUAAAUGGGAUUAUAGGUGACUGAUUCUUUCUACAGAGAGGCUUACGUCAAGGUCAUCCCCUUAGCCCUUAUUUAUUUUUUAUUUGUUCUAAAGUAUUUGCUGCUUUGCUGCAUUUGGCUAGGACUAAUAGGUCGUUGAAAGAGACGUAGAUUUACAGAGAAGGCUCGAGUUUGACAGUUUUUUUGCAGAUGAUAGUUUAUAUUUGGAGAAGCGUCGCCGAUGAGCAUUUCAGUGGUUCGAUCCAUAAUUCAGAAUACGAAUCUCUAUCAAUGUAGCAGGGGUUUGAGAACGUUUAACCUUGAGAGGUAUUCGUGCUUCCUAAAUCAUACCUACAUACCUUAUUCUUUUACCGCGGAGGCCACAGCUGUUAUUCAUGCAUUAUGGUUUGUAGAGAAUUUAGGCUUUGCAUACGUUGAGAUUGAAGGAGAUCUAUUUACGAAGCUAAGGCAUUGGCUACAAGAUUCACAGAACGCUAGUUCAGAUUUAUUCAGAGAGAAGGUCAUAUACCUGCGCACAGUUUAGCUCAUGAAGGAAUCCAUCCAGGCGUUGAUAACUUUUGGGUAGAGAGAGCUCUGAUGUCGGUUAUGGCCACUACUGAGAAAGAUAGGUGGUGGGUGGAUCCACCGAACUAACUUUUGCUGCUAAUCGAUAUUUGCUGGGCUGGUUUAACAUUUUCAGAAUUUUUGCCCAGAUUUUAGCUUUUGAGAUAGCUGUUAGGUUCUUUUGAAACUUAAAAGCUUAGGUUGAACUUUAUGCUUGCUAGGAAGAUAGAUGUCGUUAUUUUUGUGUUUUCUUUUAACUUUUCUAUUGCAAUUUUUUGAACGUUUUUUCCGAGACAGCUUAGCUAUCCUCCAUCGAUAUUGUUCUCUGGUUUUUUUGCCUAUUUUCCUUAAUAAAGUUUAGCCUUUAAAAAGUA